GCCAACCGCGGCCUCUUCACCUCUGGAGGCGCACCAGAAAUCCCGGGCGCUGCACUGGGCCGCAGGGCGGGACUUCCGGCGCGUCGGGUCUCCAUCCGGGUCAGGCGUUGUGCACCGCGACGCGCUGGCCUUUCCAGAGGACGGCCGGGCAGAGGGUGAGGAGGCGCGCGCAGCCAGGAGGCGGAGGGUUUGGGAUUGGCGGUCGCGCCCCUGCCGGAGGCUGCAUUCCCUGUGAGCGGGUUGGGGAAACGCCAGUGACACCCUGAGAGAACCGCGCCGCCCGGGCCGGGCCUCCCCGCGUCCCGCCGGUGACCGCCCCUCUGCGGCCUGCGCACGCGCAGAACCGGUCUCCCGGGGUUUGCCCUGGCGUUAGGCGGGCUGUUUGCCAAGGCGGGUGUUUCCUGUGUGGUUGUCAUUUCUACUGUCCUGCCCUGUAGAGUACGGACGCCAGCCUCCCCAGACCCUGGAAUUCGAGUUAGGGCAGAAUCCAGGGGCCGAGGCGCCUUCCCCCGAGAGGUGGAAGCCAUUGCACUCUUAUCGCAUCAUUAUGUACUCUCCCUUCUCAACCUCAGAUACAGAACCCCACCUUUUCAAACGUGGAGCACUGUUCAUGCGUUUAAUACUCUCAGCAGUGAAGAAACAGGCUAAGCAGCUAAAAUGUCCCGAGUUCAUGUAGUCAGGGUUCCUACCUAGGCAUGUGCACCCUCUUUGUUCUUAUACUCAGCUGCCGCCCCUGCAUUCCAGUUGGCCCUCCCUACCUCGGGGUCUGUAUCUACACAUUCAAUCAACUGCCGAUCAGAACUUCUUCAAAAAAGCCAGAUGCAGUGGUAGGAGGCACCUGCAAUUCCAUCACUCAGGAGGCAGAUUCAUGAGUACAAGGCCAGCUUAGGCUGAUUUUGUUCUAGGAAAACCAUAAAGAAGGAGAGAGGGAGGGAGGGCAAGAAAUAUUCUAAAGGAGAAAUAAAAUUUUAUUUAUGCUAAACAGUAUGAAGUUCUUGUCAUCAUUCCCUAAAGGAGUCCGUAUAACAACUCUACACAGCGUUUAUUUACAUUGUUUUAAGUCCUGUAUUGAAAGACUAUUCCAGUUGUCUAGUAGCAGGGGAUGGCUGUGAGCAAGUACUGUACCACAUUAGAAAAGGGAUUUGAGGACUUUGGUAUCUCUAGGGGCUCUUGGGACCAUGCCCAUGGAUACCAAGUUUCUUUCGUCAAAUACUAGUGUGUAGUUCAUAAUUUUAAGGGUUCAGAAGCGAGAACCAGGCAUAUGUGACCAAGGCUUAGCAGGACUAGCUGAAGAAGUGGGUGUAUUGAAGUUUGUCUGGAGCAUCUGAGUUCUGUUUUCCCUUCCUGAAAGAACAAGGUAUGUUCUAUGGAAAUGAUAAAAAAGAAAAAAAAAAGAUGUAGACUUUUAAAGUAACAUUAUACCUUUGGGUGCUUCUGGAGGAAUUAAAACCAUCAGUAGUUUUUGUGAUUAUUCCCUGACUAUAGUUGGAUAGCUGUUUAAGUACAGUUCUUCCUAGUGGUGUUUUUCUAGUCUUCUGUUCUUUAAUAAUGUAACCUUCAGUUACCUUUUAGU